rnacentral:lncRNA from 10 species
ACAGAAAUAGGUUUGUAGGUAUGUAGCUGCAGAGGACGUUUACUUCUGUGCAAUCACUGGACUCAGUCUGUAGGAUAUGCCCUUAGAUAAACUGGCCAAAAAGUUUUUGGAAGAGUCGAACGCGGUGGCUCACGCCUGUGAUUACAGCAGCUCUGAAGGCCGUGAGGGGCGGAUCGCUUGAGGCCAGGAGUUCGAGACCGGCCUGGGCAUCAUGGCGAAACCCCGUCUCUACAAAAAAUACAGAACAUAAGCCAGGCAUGGUGCCGCGCACCUCCAGUCCCAGCUACUCGGGAGGCUGAAGCAUGAGAAUCGUUUGAACCUGGGAGGCGGUGGUUGCAGUGAGCCGAGAUCGCGCCGAUGCACUCCAUCCUGGUCGACAGAGCGAAACUCUCUCUCCAAAUAAAUAAGUAAAACGUUGGAAUAAUAAGAAUGCAGAAUGAAAAAAAUACAUAUAGAGAAAUACGGAGUAUCAAAAGGAAUUGAAUCUGCUCUGUCACCUGUGAAAGAAAUAAUUUGAUAAAUGUGAAGGUAAAUAAGAUGAAAGUGCCCCUAGACGAAUCAGAUAAAAGUUUAAAAACUCCAGGCCUGGCCCGGAUAAAAAUAAAUAAAAAUAAAAAAUAAAAAACUCCAUUGCACAACAGUGUGAAUGAAUGUAAUUAAAAGCACUGCCCUAUACUCUUUCUUUUUUUUUCGAGAUGGAGUUUUGCUCUGUCACCCAGGCUAGAGUGGAAUGGCGCGGUCUCGGCUCACUGCAACCCCGGCCUCCCGGGUUCAAGCGAUUCUCCUGCCUCGGCCUCCCCAGUAGCUGGGAUUACAGGCGCCCGCCACCGUGCCUGGCUAAUUUUUGUAUUUUUAGCAAGACGGGGUUUCACCAUCUUGGCCAGGCUGGUCUCGAACUCCUGACCUCAAGCAAUCCACCCGCCUCGGCCUCCAAAGUGCUGAGAUUACAGGCAUGAGCCAGCGCACCUGGACUUUUUUUUUUUUUUUUUUUUUGAGACGGAGUCUCGCUCUGUCGCCCAGGCUGGAAGGAAGUGGUGUGAUCUCGGCUCACUGCAACCUCCACCUCCCAGGUUCAACCAGUUCUCCUGCCUCAGCCUCCCGAGUAGCUGGGACUAUAGGCAUGCCACCAUGCCCGGCUAAUUUUUGUAUUUUUAGUAGAGACCGGGUUUCACCAUGUUGGCCAGGCUGCUCUCGAACUCCUCACCUCAAGUGAUGCCCGCCUUGGCCUCCCAAAGUACUGGGAUUACAGGCCUGAGCCACCACACCUGGCCCCCUAUACAUUUUAAACUAGUUAAAAAUGGCAAGUUUUAUGUAUAUUUUACCACACACAAAACCCUCUGAAUAUGAAGUAGGCAAGUAAAGAAUGCUUACGAUAUAUAUACAUAAGAAAUGUUGCAAAUAUGAUGGAAUUUUUAGUGUGGUGUAAGGUGGAAAAACGUUGGCUAGAGAGACAGAGCUAUCACAGCUGGGCUAUCUUGAGUAGUAACGUUUAUGGUGUUCCUCCUACAUAUUAGAUUUUGUUCUGAAUGCUUUAUUACGUACAUUAUUUACUAUCGCAGCAAUUCUUUUUUUUUUUUUUUUUGAGAUGGAGUCUUGCUCUGUUGCCCAGGCUGGAGUGCAGUGGCUCGAUCUUGGCUCACUGCAUUCUCUGCCUCCUGGGUUCAAGCAAUUCUCCUGCCUCAGCCUCCCGAGUAGCUGGGACUGCAAGCAAGUGUCACCAUGCCCCACCAAUUUUUGUAUUUUCAGUAGAGACGGGGUUUCACCAUAUUGGCCAGGGUGGUCUUGAACUCCUGACCACGUGAUCUGCCCGCCUUGACCUCCCAAAGUGCUGGGAUUACAGGCAUGAGCCACCGUGCCCGGCCUACAAAUUUUUUUUUUUUUUUAGAUGAAGUCUCACUCUGUCCCCCAGGCUGGAGUGUAGUGGUGCGAUCUCGGCUCACUGCAACCUCCGCCUCUCAGGUUCAAG